CACAACCCAAACAGCUCCCCACAAACCACUUCACAGCUGCUCAUUGACAGAUGCUGGUCCUCACCCAAUAAACCUAAAACACUCACACUAUGUUACAAAACGUGGCAAGAACUCACGCCAGCUAAACCACAUUCGCACAAAGCCCAAUGGGAGAUGGACUGUGACAUAACCUUAACAAAUAUGGAGUGGCUACAAGCACUGAACGG